rnacentral:rRNA from 1 species
AGAGUUUGAUCCUGGCUCAGAACGAACGUUGGUGGGAUGUUUUAUGCAUGCAAGUCGAGCGGCAGCACUUCGGGUGGCGAGCGGCGAACUGGUGAGUAACACGUAGGUAUCUGCCUUUAAGACUGGGAUAGCCCUGGGAAACCAGGAUUAAUACCGGAUAUGUCUUUGGAUGAAAGACGCGUUUGCGUCACUUAAAGAUGAGCCUGCGUCCUAUUAGCUAGUUGGUGAGGUAACUGCUCACCAAGGCGACGAUAGGUAGCCGGCCUGAGAGGGUGAUCGGCCACAUCGGGACUGAGAUACGGCCCGGACUCCUACGGGAGGCAGCAGCAAAGAAUAUUCCGCAAUGGACGAAAGUCUGACGGAGCAAUUCCACGUGGUGGAUGAAGGCCUUCGGGUUGUAAACACCUUUCGGCAGGGAAGAAUAAGGUAAUCAGGAAAUGGGUUAUCGAUGACGGUACCUGCAGAAGAAGCACCGACUAACUACGUGCCAGCAGUCGCGGUAAUACGUAGGGUGCGAACGUUGUUCGGAAUCACUGGGCGUAAAGGGUGCGCAGGCGGCCAGAUAAGUAAGAUGUGGAAAUCCGGGGCUUAACUCCGGACCUGCAUUUUAAACUGUCUGGCUAGAGUUGAGAUAGGGGUGACAGGAAUUCCUGGUGUAGGAGUGAAAUCUGUAGAUAUCAGGAGGAACACCAAUAGCGAAGGCAAGUCACUGGGUAUCGACUGACGCUAAGGCACGAAAGCUAGGGGAGCAAAUGGGAUUAGAGACCCCAGUAGUCCUAGCCGUAAACGCUGUACACUCGCUUUAUGGGUUUUUCAAUCUAUAUAGCCAAGCAAACGCGACAAGUGUACCGCCUGGGGAGUAUGCACGCAAGUGUGAAACUCAAAGGAAUUGACGGGGGCUCGCACAAGCGGUGGAGCAUGUGGUUUAAUUCGAUGAUAAGCGAAGAACCUUACCUGGGCUUGAACGUGUAGUGACAACCUGUGAAAGCAGGCUUCCCUUUGGGGCACUAUGCGAGGUGCUGCAUGGCUGUCGUCAGCUCGUGUUGUGAAAUGUUGGGUUAAGUCCCGCAACGAGCGCAACCCUUGUCCUAUGUUGCUAAUCCCUUCGGGGAAGGACUCUUAGGAGACUGCCCGGGUUAACCGGGAGGAAGGCGGGGAUGACGUCAAGUCCUCAUGGCCCUUAUGUCCAGGGCUACACACGUGCUACAAUGGGGCGUACAAAGAGCUGCUAAGCCGCGAGGCCAAGCGAAUCUCAAAAAACGCCUCUCAGUUCGGAUUGUAGUCUGCAACUCGACUACAUGAAGCUGGAAUCGCUAGUAAUCGCAGAUCAGCAUGCUGCGGUGAAUGCGUUCUCGAGCCUUGUACACACCGCCCGUCACACCACCCGAGCUAUGCUUACCUGAAGUAGCUGACCCAACCGCAAGGAGGGAGGUUCCGAGGGUAGGCCCGGUAAGGAGGGUGAAGUCGA